UCUUGCGCAAUGGGCGAAAGCCUGACGCAGCGACGCCGCGUGGGGGAUGAAGGCCUUCGGGUUGUAAACCCCUUUCAGGAGGGAAGAUGGGACGGGCAACCGUUCGGACGGUACCUUCAGAAGCAGCCACGGCUAACUCUGUGCCAGCAGCCGCGGUAAGACAGAGGUGGCAAGCGUUGUUCGGAUUUACUGGGCGUAAAGGGUGCGUAGGUGGUUAGGUAAGACCUGCGGGAAAGACCUGGGCUUAACCCAGGAAGGUCGUAGGUGACUGCCUGGCUAGAGGGCGGGAGAGGAGAGCGGAAUUCCCGGUGUAGCGGUGAAAUGCGUAGAGAUCGGGAGGAAGGCCGGUGGCGAAGGCGGCUCUCUGGAACGUUCCUGACACUGAGCACGAAA
rnacentral:rRNA from 1 species